rnacentral:rRNA from 1 species
AUUGAACGCUGGCGGCAGGCCUAACACAUGCAAGUCGAGCGAGCGGCGGACGGGUGUGUAAUGUAUGGGGACUGCCCGAUACAGGGGGAUAACUUCUGGAACCGGUGGCUACUACCGCAUACUAUCGGAUAACCCAUAUGGGAUUAGCUAGUAGCGGGGGUAACGGCUCACCUAGGCGACGAUCUCCAGCUGGUCUGAGAGGAUGAUCAGGCAAACGGGUACGGAGACGCGGCCCAGUCUCCUACGGAGGCAGAAGUGGUGAAUAUUGCAUAAUGGGCGCAAGCCUGAUACAGCCAUGCCGCGUGGAUGAAGAAGGCCUGAGGGUUGUAAAGGACUUUCAGCGGGGAGGCGGUACCCGCAGAAGAAGCACCGGCUAACUCCGUGCCAGCAGCCGCGGUAAUAC